ensembl:lncRNA
GCGACUCUACAACUAAUUAUAUAGAUAGAUAGAAACUUAGAUAGAUAGAUAGAUAGAUAGAUAGAUAGAUAGAUAGAUAGAUAGAUAGAUGAUAGACACAACAUACCCAGAGAAGAUGUGUGUUAUUUUAACAAAACUGCUCCACUGCUUAUUAACCCUGAAAGUCCCAAAGUUGGAAAAAAGCUGUGAAAAAAAUUGUUUCACCAUUUAUAUGUUGUUGUGGGAGGGCUCUAAUGCAGAAGACCUUGCCUUGCUUUUUGCGAUCAACAAUGUCACAUAGUCAAACCAACAUACAAAAAAAAAAAAAAAAAAAAAAAAACAUCAAUAAGGCAAUGGAUCAACAAGUCCCAAAAUUUUAUCUUUUUAUGACAAGUCAAAGUUAUAAAAUGUCAUGUAAGGGUACUACGCCUCCUCCUGCCCCUAACAUCACCACCCGGAAGGGGGUUAUUCUAGAACAAGUCACUGCAUAUAACUACUUGGGAAUCUGGUUGGAAACUUCACUUUCUUUAACCAUUCACAUAUCAAAGCUGCAAUCAAAGGUCAAAGCCAAGCUUGGUUUCCUUUACAGAAACCGCUCUUCAUUCACCACCUCUGCCGGACUUACUCUCAUUCAGAUGACCAUUCUACCCAUGUUAGACUAUGGAGACACUAUAUACAGGGUUGCUUGCAAGUCCACUCUUUCAAAACUUGAUGCUCUUUAUCAUUCUGCUAUCAGGUUUGCCACAAAUGCACCCUUCAAUACACACCCCUGUGCUCUAAAUUCAUCUGUUAACUGGCCCUCCCUUCACAAUCGCCGUAAAAUUCACUGGCUCACCUUCAUUUACAAGACACUUCUCGGCCACUCACCUCCGUACUUAGGUCACCUGCUGCAGCCAAAGCCUGUCACAUAUAACACUCGGUCCUCACUUCAUCUUCAACUAAGCAGUCCCAAAACUAAUUCUGCGUUUGGUCUUACAUCUUUUCAAUCUGCUGCCGCUCGCGAUUGGAAUGCUCUGCAAAACAUUCUCAAACUAGAUAAACUAAUUCCAAUUUCAUCCUUCAAAACUAGUAUAUCAUACUUGUUCACGGACAUAUGCAGUUGCUUCACUACAUAAUUGUUUUUUUUUUUAUUUUAUUUUUUAACAGUAAAUAGAUUGAUGAUGAUGUUUGAUGUUUUAAAAUGUAUUUAUGUAAAUGCUAACCUGUAUGUAUUUCUAAUGUUCUGUAUUUAUUUUAGCCCCAUUUCCCUUUCCCUAAGUGGUUAUUCCACUUGUCAGGCCGCCAUUGUAAAUAAAAACCUGUUCUUAAUGACUUGCCUG